CACGCUGUAAACGAUGGAUACUAGGUGUGGGGGAGAUACAACCUCCGUGCCGGAGCAAACGCAAUAAGUAUCCCGCCUGGGGAGUACGGCCGCAAGGCUGAAACUCAAAGGAAUUGACGGGGACCCGCACAAGCAGCGGAGCAUGUGGUUUAAUUCGAAGCAACGCGAAGAACCUUACCAAGGCUUGACAUCCCUUGACAGGCAUAGAAAUAUGCUUUCCCUUCGGGGCAAGGAGACAGGUGG
rnacentral:rRNA from 1 species